GAUGGAAGAACGCAGCGAACUGCGAUAAGUAAUGUGAAUUGCAGAAUUCAGUGAAUCAUCGAGUCUUUGAACGCACAUUGCGCCCCCUGGCAUUCCGGGGGGCAUGCCUGUCCGAGCGUCAUUGCUGCCCUUCAAGCCCGGCUUGUGUGUUGGGUCGUCGUCCCCCCCGGGGGACGGGCCCGAAAGGCAGCGGCGGCACCGCGUCCGGUCCUCGAGCGUAUGGGGCUUUGUCACCCGCUCGAUUAGGGCCGGCCGGGCGCCAGCCGGCGUCUCCAACCUUCUAUUUUACCAGGUUGACCUCGGAUCAGGUAGGGAUACCCGCUGAACUUAAGCAUAUCAAUAAGCGGAGGA
rnacentral:misc_RNA from 1 species